rnacentral:lncRNA from 1 species
CGGCUGCCGCCGCCGCCGCCUCGGCCGACCAGGGACCUGCCCGCCUGCGGCUGCUCCGGCCUAGAGGAUCAAGACAUAAUGGGAGCAUUUUUAGACAAGCCAAAGAUGGAAAAGCAUAAUGCCCAGGGGCAGGGUAAUGGGUUGCGAUAUGGGCUAAGCAGCAUGCAAGGCUGGCGUGUUGAAAUGGAGGAUGCACAUACGGCUGUGAUCGGUUUGCCAAGUGGACUUGAAUCGUGGUCAUUCUUUGCUGUGUAUGAUGGGCAUGCUGGUUCUCAGGUUGCCAAAUACUGCUGUGAGCAUUUGUUAGAUCAC